rnacentral:rRNA from 1 species
UUAAUAGCAACUAGCUCUCUGCAUCUCUCACAUGGUCACCUUGAAGUUAAGCAGGGCUGAGCCUGGUCAGUACCUGGAUGGGAGACCACAUGGGAAAGCUAGAUUGCUGUCAGA